CAGCAGCCGCGGGAAUACGAAGGGGGCUAGCGUUGUUCGGAUUUACUGGGCGUAAAGGGUGCGUAGGCGGAUUGUUAAGUCAGGGGUGAAAUCCCGAGGCUCAACCUCGGAACUGCCUUUGAUACUGGCGAUCUUGAGUCCGGAAGAGGUGAGUGGAACUGCGAGUGUAGAGGUGAGAUUCGUAGAUAUUCGCAAGAACACCGGUGGCGGAGGCGGCUCACUGGCCCGGAACUGACGCUGAGGCACGAAAGCGUGGGGAGCAAACAGGAUUAGAUACCCCAGUAGUCCCUGUCUCUUAUAC
rnacentral:rRNA from 1 species